rnacentral:rRNA from 1 species
CACGGAGUUAGCCGGGGCUUAUUCUCCCGGUACUGUCAUUAUCAUCCCGGGUAAAAGAGCUUUACAACCCUAAGGCCUUCAUCACUCACGCGGCAUUGCUGGAUCAGGCUUUCGCCCAUUGUCCAAUAUUCCCUACUGCUGCCUCCCGUAGGAGUCUGGGCCGUGUCUCAGUCCCAGUGUGGCUGAUCAUCCUCUCAGACCAGCUACGGAUCGUCGCCUUGGUAGGCCUUUACCCCACCAACUAGCUAAUCCGACGCGGGCUCAUCUCAGGGCGAUAAAUCUUUGGACUUACGUCAUCAUCCGGUAUUAGCAGUCGUUUCCAACUGUUAUUCCGAACCCCAAGGCAGAUUCCCACGCGUUACGCACCCGUGCGCCACUAAGGCCGAAGCCUUCGUUCGACUUGCAUGUAUUAGGCAUGCCGCCAGCGUUCGUUCUGAGCCAGGAUCAAACUCU